AAAGCAUAAUUAGUUCCAUCUAUUUCAUUUAGAGAGAGUGUUCUUCCUUUUCUUUAACGUUUUGUUUUGUUUUCUUGUUCGUUGUCUCUGUUGUAUUUUAUCUCUUGUUGGAGUUUUUGUUUGUUUGUUUUGUUUUAGAUUUUUCAUGUUUUCUGGUAAGGGUUAUGUGCUGGUGUUCAUCCGUGAUUUCUUUUUGUUGGUUUUUAUCUUUUACAUAAGAAGAUGUGGAACAAAGGAAGGGGGGAAACAAAAGGAAGAGGCAGAGCAAAAGGAAGCCACCAAAUUCUUGUUCUACGAAAACUUGGCAGGAAGUGUGGAAAUUCCUGAAUUGCCUUUGUCUUGUGUACAGCAAGCGAGGAAGGAUGGAGCCGUCAACAGAGGAGGCACAGUAGAUGUUGAUAAUGUCACAGGGACCUGCCCAUAACAUGCUUUGCACAACUAAUUCACAGAUUCGAUGGAUUGGAGCCUGGAGCCAAUGCCAAUUCGGCUAGGGGAUUUGGGGUGAUAAAAUUGGUGAAGAAGUUGUUGCAAUUGAUAAAAUUAGUGUAAAUGUAAUUUGUAAAUUGAGGCAGUUUACUGGAUAAUGCAACAAACAAUGUCUAAAAUUGAAAUUGUUGCAUUUUUGAACCAGUUGUUGAAAUUGGUGGCAUCAAUAAAUGUAAUAUUUAAAUUGAGACAAUAUCUAUCCAGUAGAUUGAUAUGUAAACUGAUUUAUUAUUUAAUAUCAUUAUUUUUAUUUGGGUUGAA